rnacentral:pre_miRNA from 1 species
ACAAAAUUUGGACCGUCGGUCUUCUGAGCAAUAUCACCCACUGGGUAGAAGAUCUUCCUUUCGUCGU